AAAUCUUUUGGCGGCUACCCUUCGCCUCCCUUCUCUCCUCCCUUCCCCUCCGCCGCCGGGUGCCCGGAUCCUCUCCCUGUCCCUCUCCCCCCAUGUUGCCGAGUCCCCUCACCGCCCGUCCCCUUCGUCGCCACCGGGUCCCCUCCCUUCCUCCCCCCACACCUCCACCGCCGCCCUCGAAGACGCCUCCCCACCGCAGAUCUGCUCGCUCUCGCCCUUGGUGCGGCUGCGGACAACCCCAUGCUCCGUGCGGCGCUCUUCUGCUCAGAUACGUGCGCAUCCCUACGCCGUCGCGCCACGCGUUCCCUCCCCCGACGGACUGACUGAGACUGUCCCCUCAUUCCGCGCGCAGCCUCCGGGCGCCGCCGGUCCUCGGCAAUGGCUGCGGCCAUCCCGCUCUUCGCCGUCGCCGCCUCGUGGCUCUCCAACGGCCCCGCCUCAUCCCCGCCAAGGGUGCGCCUCCUCAUCGGCGGCGAGUUCGUCGAAUCGCGCGCCGACGAGCACAUCAAUGUCACCAACCCCGUAAGCCCCUACUUCCUUCCCUCUGAAUCGAUUUUAGUUUCGAAUUGAUCGAUUUUUGGGGCUAUGGGUGUGUGACGCGCGCAUUUGGGUGUCGAGGUUGUCGGAGGCAAUGCAGGAGGUGCUGUCGCGGAUCCUGCUCACGACCGCCGACGAGUUCAGGGCUGCCGUGGACGUCACCAGGACGACCUUCCCCGGGUGGCGGGGCACGGCCGUUACCACGCGGCAGCAUGUCAUGUUCACGUUCUAGGAGCUCAUCCGGGCAAACAUGGACAAGCUUGCAGAGAACAUUCCCACAGAGCAGGGGAAGACGCUGAAAGAUAAUUGGGGUGAUGUGUUUCGGGGUCUAAGUUGGUUUUCGGAUCAUUGGAAUGUGGAUAUGUUGACUAUCUAAAAUUUCUAUGUUACCAUAAACUGAAUAUCUUGACAUAAAGGUUUUGAAUUGCCUCCUAAAUUCACAAACCUUAGAAAUGCAUAAUACAUCUUAGAAUAUAUUUUGACCUGCAACUAAAAACAAGUGUCCUGAUAACUUAUCACAAAGAUUUUUCAUUAUUUAUGCAAUAUCAAAUGUUGUCUCUAUAUCAAAAUAUAUCUACAGAAGGCUCUAUUUAAGUAAUAAACAAAGAGGUUAAAGAAAUGUAGAGUUGAUUAUUUUUCAGGAAACCAAGCAGGUGCAUAGAUUUGUUCAUACUAAUUUGCUGGUUGUCUAUUCCCCAUUCACUAUAUCAAGUAGAUGUUCAAUCUUAGCUAGCUAUUCUUUGGACUUUGUUUGCUAAUUGCAGCAUGAAUUGUCUCUACAUUAAUGGGCGCAUCGUGUUACGCAGUAGAGCACUUUUCUUUCUGCCUUUUUCUAUCUAAUUUAGGGAUAACAUUUAGUAGCUAUUUCCAUUGUUCAUUGCAAAUUUGUGAGUUCACAUCACUUUGCCCAUAACUCUGAUUGGCAUUGCUCCUGCUGGUGUCUGCAGGUACAAAAUGUGACCCUCUGCUACAGACUCUUCGAUCUGAAUCAAACAACCUGUUUAUCCAUGUGGUUUUUUUUCAGUUACACUCUUGGAUCAGGAUAACUACAUAGCUACAUGCAAAAUCCAUGAUUGGCUUGGCACAGACUUUGCAAUUGCUGAAGCUGUCAAUUUCGUAGUAGAAUCAGAAAGGCAGGGUUCAACAACACUUAGAGAGAAAAUGGAUGACCAGCAAUGUGAGCUAGAAGACCUGAAGCUGAAGUGUCUCAGAUUUUCGUCACGCAAGUGUCUCAGAUUAUAAAAGAUGACGAAAAUACCACUUUCAGUAACAUAAAUGAAACGUCGUAGAAGUCCAUAUGUGUUGUAGUGGGUGGUCACCUUAUUGAGGACUUGAUUUGGUGUCAUUAUUGAGAGAUCUUUCUCAUAGAGAAUGGUUGUCACCAAAUCAUAGUCCGGCUUUCGGAGAGCGUGGAGCAUCUUGCGAAUGAGUUCCAUUUCUUCAAUUUUCUUGACACCUAAGGAAUUGAUCUCAUUCAGAAGAACAUUCAAUCGUGAGUACAUUGAUUCGGCAUUUUCAUGAUUAAUUUGCUUGAAGCUAUUUAGUCUAUCAAUGAGAACAUGAUAUCUAUUGUUUGCAACA